GGACAGUUUCUGCUUGAAUUUGUUUGCAAGAUGUCAGAAUAGCCUCCCAGAGCUGCUGUUUGGAUGUAAACUGCCUCCCACCCUCACAGAUCUUUUGCUUGAGAAUGCUCCAAAGGUUCUCAAUAGGAUUGAGGUCAGGGGAGGAUGGAGGCCACACCAUGACUUUCUCUCCUGUUAUCCCCAUAGCAGCCAAUGAAGCAGAGGUAUUUUUUGCAGCAUGAGAUGGUG